rnacentral:rRNA from 1 species
CACGUAGGUGGCCUGUUAAGUCGGGUGUGAAAUCCCUGGGCUCAACCCAGGAAGUGCACUCGAAACUGGCAGGCUUGAGUACUGAAGAGGGUCGCGGAAUUCCCGGUGUAGAGGUGAAAUUCGUAGAUAUCGGGAGGAACACCAGUGGCGAAGGCGGCGACCUGGGCAGAUACUGACACUGAGGUGCGAAAGCGUGGGGAGCAAACA